UACGUAGGUGGCAAGCGUUGUCCGGAUUUACUGGGCGUAAAGCGCGCGCAGGCGGUCCUUUAAGUCUGAUGUGAAAGUCCACGGCUCAACCGUGGAGGGUCAUUGGAAACUGGGGGACUUGAGUACAGAAGAGAAGAGUGGAAUUCCACGUGUAGCGGUGAAAUGCGUAGAGAUGUGGAGGAACACCAGUGGCGAAGGCGACUCUUUGGUCUGUAACUGACGCUGAGGCGCGAAAGCGUGGGGAGCAAACAGG
rnacentral:rRNA from 1 species